UACGAAGGGGGCUAGCGUUGUUCGGAAUUACUGGGCGUAAAGCGCACGUAGGCGGAUUUGCCAGUCAGGGGUGAAAUCCCGGGGCUCAACCUCGGAACUGCCUUUGAUACAGCAAGUCUAGAGUCCGGAAGAGGUGAGUGGAAUUCCUAGUGUAGAGGUGAAAUUCGUAGAUAUUAGGAAGAACACCAGUGGCGAAGGCGGCUCACUGGUCCGGCACUGACGCUGAGGUGCGAAAGCGUGGGGAGCAAACAGG
rnacentral:misc_RNA from 1 species